UUAGAUAAAUAUGUUCAUGUUGGAAACAUUUUUCUAAAUUUGAUAAUGUGGAUGUGUCAUCCAAAUCAUUCAUUGCAUUUAAAUAGGAAAUAAAGAAACAACAUAAUUUUACACAAAUAUUCAUUUUCCACUUGAUUUUAUCAUUUUUAUUCACUCCAUGAAUAAUAUACGUUCACGAAAAUACGUUGUCUUUUUCAAACAUAGUAGUUCAAAUUCAACGAGUCGUUCUACGAAGGUGCACUUAAGACUGUCUGGCGUGUAUUUAAUUUGUACUUUAUUCUGACAGCCGCGUUGUAAUUGAUGAUGACAGUUCGGUUUCGCCCCUCUGGACGUAGGCCCAAUAUCAAAUUUUUCAUGACAGCGAUUUCGGAAUUCAUUCAGAUCGCAACAAUUCGGCCGAUUCCAUUAUUCCAGCCAAUUUUCGGCAAAAACUGAUGAUGAGGUUUUGUUUGACUCGUCAAUAUCUAUAACUUUUACCAACGUCAGCCCUUGAAACAGCAUUCUGGGCCAGUUACAGUGUGAAAUGACCAAAAAAAUGUCAAUUUUUCGGCAUUUUCAACAUUUUUGGCUUUACGAGUAACCAAGGUGGUGGACUUUUGUUCAGUUUUAGACUCAACCAAAUAUUUAUAAAAUUCAUGUGGAACAUUUUUGUGCCAAAUCGUAUGCCAAAAAGCUCAGUUGUGAAAACAUCCUUUCAGAUGAUGGAUGGCCCGUUUAACCCGUCAAUUUUUUUUCGGCCAUUUUCAAGAUGUUUGGAAUAUUUUCGAUAAUUUUUUUUUGUAAUGCAAACCAAGCACCCUCGGAACAAAAAGUUUCCUUGUGAGGUCCUCUUUCCAACGGUAUAUAUAUCUAUUGACUAGAUCGAGAGGAGAGUAUGUGAAAAAUUCUAAUAUAUUUUGAAAGAGGCGCACAUAAAAAAGCAAAUUUUAUAUAAAACUUUUUUUUCUUAUCAUUUUUCGCGCUUUUCGCGGAACUGAUAAGAGAUAAGAGAUAACUGACUUCAGCAAUGUUAUAGAAGACCUCAAGUGCUACAACUUUGCCGAAGACAUCAAGUUGUUAUCUCUUAUCAGUUCCGCGGAAACCGUGGAAAACCACGAGGACCCACCAAAAAUGAACAUACUCGCCUUUAACCAUUUUUGAGUCGAAAGAAACUUACUCUUCUCUUUCAUAACAAAGUCAGAUGAACUUACUCUCCUCUCGAUCAAGUCAAUAGAUAUGUUGUAAACAUUAUUAACUUUUAAGGAUGUGUUAGUGGUCAAUCAAAGUGUGGCCCGUUUGAGACGACAUUCCCUUACUCAUAAUAGACAUUAGUUUUUCAUUUAUUCACAUAACGGCUAUCUAACUUUGACUUUAUCUGUGAUGAUAAUAAGUUUUUUAUGUCCCAAUGGUUAACGAAUUUAGUCUAAGAAUGCUUCAUUUAUAUUAUAUCAAUAGAAAACAGAUGUUAACAGGGGGAGAGAGAAUGAAUAAAUUUUCAUUUUUUCACUGAAA